AGUUUUUUUUUUGGCAACCACAUGAUAUGUAUACGUAUACGGUGUCCAAAACCCUGAUAUGAUUUUUGGCCCGCAUUUUCUUCCUUGGAUCUAAAUAAUUCAACCAAACAUAGUGAUGUUGGGUUUCAUGGUGAAUGUUUAGCAUUUAUCAUGUCAAUCAACUUUGCAGGCCUUCUGCAGAGAAAUAUGUGGUUGCAGAUUUUUCUUUUUCUUUUUGGUCCUGGUCGAGGGUUGAGCUAUACAAUGGGUUAGCAUAUUAUCUGUUUCCUUUUUUUUAUCAAUCUCUAACUCUACUUGUCCCCCCAAUCUAAUAUUUUGGUGCCCAUCUUUUGGAUCUUCCAAAACAAUCCUGCAGGAGGUCUGGACUCAUUUUUUUUCUGAUCCUUUGAUAAAAAGAUUCAUUCUCUUUUCACUUUCCUGUCCCAAAGCCUUCACCGCAACUGCUUGGGGAUUUAAUUCCACUUCUCUUGCAAGGACAAGUUAAUUUACCAUCUACAUUAGCUGGCAAUCAUUUGAUAUAGUGGAUGCGACCAAUGCCUAUAGAGCUGCAAUAGUUGAUAUUGUUCUGUUCUAGUAUCGAAGAGAUUGAAUUUUUCUUAUUCUGCUUCUUUUUUAUUUCUUUACAGAGCCUUGGUACAUGGAGCUG
rnacentral:misc_RNA from 1 species